UCUCUCUCUCUCUCUCUCUCUCUCUCUCUCUCUCUCUCUCUCUCUCUCCCUUCUCUUUCCACUGCCACCUUGCCCUUCUCUCUCUCUCUCUCAAUUUACCUCACGUGACACUGUUUGGCCUGGUAUGGUCCUUCUGAAGCCUCGAGAAGAUCACAACAGUAUGUAUGUGAGGAAACUGGACCCCAGAAAGGUUACAUUUGUUGACAGCAUAGUACCACGAAGAUUGAUUAUUGAAACAGUUGAGGCUGCCAAGCCUGGAAUAGAACAGUCAAAGGAAUGUUGAAUUUCUUGUCUUCAGUCUUCUACCAAAGUCCAAGAGAAUGUAUGUAUCUGCAUUUGGGAUCUACUCCCAGUGGGAUCCCUGAGAGACAGACCUGGAAUCCAAGACUGGAAGCUGGUCUUGACUUACAAAGAGGAAAAACAUGAAGCAUCUGUCUUAGAAGUCAAAGUUGUCUGUGGCUAGAACAGGCUGCCAGGAGACAGGGGAUAUGCUCUUUCCACAUUGACUAGCUGGCACAUCUGACCUACCUUGCAAGUUGCAGCUGAAAGGUUGUCUUCUGAUACUGCUGAGAACUGAGAAGCUACAUAUGCAGUACUUCAGUGCAGUCGCUGGCAAGGAAGGGGCACUCAGAGGACUCAGGAGGCUAAAGAAAGAGGAUUGUGAGCUUAAGUUCAGCCUGGUCUACAGUGAGAUGAAAAGUAAAGAAGUGUUCCAAGAGAAAAUCAUCUUUGAAUUGUCGUGAAUCGUGAACAGAAAUUUGCCUGGGAGAGAAAGACACUGAAGGCAAAAAGGCACAGCCCAUGUAAAUGCUGGAAGGCCUAAGAGGACAUGAUGAAGAAUUAAGAGUUUGCAACAGAUCCAGCUUAGUAUCCAUGAAAAAACACAGUGAUGUCAGCAGGCAGAUCAGAAAGAAGAGCUACUUUCAGUCAUGUUUGGGAGUCUGCCCUUUAACACAAUGUCUACUACAGCCAAGCGUAUACUCUUCAUCCUUCUAACACACCUUCAUUAUAGUAGUCAGCAAGUGAUUUUUAACUUUUCUAUUGAA
rnacentral:lncRNA from 1 species